CAUGGCGGGGCUGAGGGGAUGGAGGGGCCAGCAGGGAGCACAGAGGGCUCCGGGACUGCAGCUCUGCCAGGCCUUGGAACCAAUUCCAGAGCCUCCACUUUUGCCACAGCUGCAAUGAAGACCACGAGGACCGCCGGAGACUGCCGGGAGCCAGCAGGGAGGAGCCGAAGGCCAGCAGCAGGAGCAGGGAGCGAGGCCCUGCUGCUGCCAGCCUGGAGAGAGCCCGGAUGUCCUAUCUGCUGUCCCUGUGCAGGAGAGCUGCUCUGCCCGGGAGGAAGAGGCCGCAGGAGAGGCUUUGAAGAUGGGGCAGCUGGGGUCCCUCUGCUUGGAGUUAUCUUGAAAGAUACACGGACUUGCACGUGGACAGGGAUUGUUAUAUGGAUAUGUACAUAUGUAGCCUUCUAGUUGUACAGGAACAUUUCUAUAGAUAUGGUAUUAUAUUUAUGAAUAUACUAUGUACAUAUGUAAGUAUAGAUACUUGCAUACGUACAAGUUUUCAGUUACAUAUUUGUGUGUAAAGGUAUCUAGUUCUUUAUGUUUAUUGUAAUAUCUGUGUUUAGAUUUCCAUAUGGAUAGAGUGGUGUAGGUAUCUAUCUGUAUUGAUGUAGUUUUCAGUAUGUGUCUUUUUAAAAAGGCAUAUUGGUAUUUGUAUAAGUAUAUAUGUUUGGUUUUAUAUUUUUAGCUGUAUAGUGAUAUAUUUCUAUAUAUAUAAUAUUUACAUAAUAUCCAGAUGUAUAGCUGGUUUUGUAUCGAUGCAGUUGUACAGAUACUUAGAUUGGCAGUGCUGUUUGUCUAGUUGUAGAUAGGUUUGUUUUAUGUAUCUGUUUCCUGAAUGUAUAAUGUAAUAUUUAAUCUAUAUUCACAGCUCUAUGUUGUGAUGAUUAUAUAUGUAUUCAUUUCUAUUUAAAUAUGUAUGGAGUUAUAUAGCGAUGUAAUUCUAUUUAUUGAGUUCUCUGUAUUAGAAACACAUACUGAUAUUUUUUUUGUAUUUUUACAUGGGCUGUACACUUGUUGUAAUAUGCAAUAAACUAAGUUGUUAAUUUUCUGCUGAUAGUUGUGUAUAAUGAGUGUUUGUAGAGGUUUGCAAUAAAUUAGUUUUUAUGAAA